rnacentral:rRNA from 1 species
AUUGAACGCUGGCGGCAUGCCUUACACAUGCAAGUCGAACGGUAACAGGUUAAGCUGUCGAGUGGCGAACGGGUGAGUAAUGUAUCGGAACGUGCCCAGUCGUGGGGGAUAACUGCUCGAAAGAGCAGCUAAUACCGCAUACGACCUGAGGGUGAAAGCGGGGGAUCGCAAGACCUCGCGCGAUUGGAGCGGCCGAUAUCAGAUUAGGUAGUUGGUGAGGUAAAGGCUCACCAAGCCGACGAUCUGUAGCUGGUCUGAGAGGACGACCAGCCACACUGGGACUGAGACACGGCCCAGACUCCUACGGGAGGCAGCAGUGGGGAAUUUUGGACAAUGGGCGCAAGCCUGAUCCAGCCAUGCCGCGUGCGGGAAGAAGGCCUUCGGGUUGUAAACCGCUUUUGUCAGGGAAGAAAAGGUUCUGGCUAAUACCUGGGACUCAUGACGGUACCUGAAGAAUAAGCACCGGCUAACUACGUG